UACGGAGGGAGCUAGCGUUGUUCGGAAUUACUGGGCGUAAAGCGUCUGUAGGUGGCUUUUUAAGUCUGCCGUCAAAUCCCAGGGCUUAACCCUGGACAGGCGGUGGAAACUACCAAGCUGGAGUACGGUAGGGGCAGGGGGAAUUUCCGGUGGAGCGGUGAAAUGCGUAGAGAUCGGAAAGAACACCAACGGCGAAAGCACUCUGCUGGGCCGACACUGACACUGAGAGACGAAAGCUAGGGGAGCGAAUGGG
rnacentral:rRNA from 1 species